AGGAACCAGGGCUUUUCAGUUGGCAUUCCGUGUCAUUCAUUUUAGUACAUUCCCUAGAGCAUCUGCUUUGCAUGAAGAAGGUCCCAGGUUCCCUCCCUGGCAGCAUCUCCAAGAUCAGACUGAGAGAGAUUCCUGCCUGAAUUCUUGGAGAAGCCACUGCCAGUCUGUGUAGACAAUACUGAGCUAGGUGGCCCAAUGGUCUGACUCGGAAUAAGGCAGCUUCCUAUGUGCCUGAGUUGGUUAUCAACUUUGCAAGUAGGUUCCACACGAUGUGUGGCCUCAGCUCCCCUCCUCCCCAUCUGCAAUAUGCACUGACUUACCCUACAGGAUUGUUGCAACCAUUACUGGAAUAAAUGCAUGUGAAGUAUUCUGAAAGCUCUUGAGUGCUGUCUAAAGGCUAAGAGUAAUUACUUUCUGAAUUCUCUUUAACCUGCAGGAACGUCCAGCUCUGUCAGUCUGGAGCACUAGUUCUUGUACGAGCAGAAGAUCACUCUGAUGUAUAUCUUGAGGGUUGGUUUUCUUUUUGCAUGAGAGUAAAUUCCCCAAAGCUUACAAUGAGAAAUGGGAUCUUAUUCUGCAGUGUAGGAUGGCUGGCUCCAAACCAGAAAAGAAAAGAGGCCAGCCUCACAAAGUGCUGAGGAAAACUGUAUGUUGCGUUUACAAAAUCGUUCCCAUUUUCCAUUGUUGUGCCUAAUGACUUUCAAGCAUUGCAACUCCUCGUCAGAGGCAAGAGUCACUUCUUGUCUCCUGAAUGAGGUGUUUCUUUGUCCUUUGGGGAUGCCACUGAUGCCUGUGUGGCAGGUGCAUUCCUAAUGAUGUUAGGGGAAAAGCAAUGUCAGCCAUGGCAUCAUCAUUAUCCAGUGUUCCUCUGUCUCCUGCAAAUGGGGAAAUACCCAAUAUAAGGAUGUCAGGUCAUAUAUUUCCUUUACUAGAAGCCCUAUUCACACAUUAUGUUCACCAUUCACAGAGGUGCCCCUAGGUAAUUUUGGAGCCUGGACCUAAAAGCCUUUGGAGACACCACCACCCCCGCCUCCCUGCAAGUUAAGCAUCACCCACACAACCACACCAUGACAUACGUGGUAUUUUUAACCCAUGGGUUCUUGGGGGCACAAACAGCAACUGAACUCACAAGAAUGUAAGAAUAUAAAAAAGGUGUGUUUAUGCAAAUAUGCAUUAGCAGAAACAUUUCCACAUGCAACUUAACAACAUAUUCCCAUUCCACAUAUUUCUUUCCCCACUUCCCAAUACGCAGCCACCCAGCGCAGGUCACAGUCGCCACCUGGCACAGUGUGGGACAGUGGCAUGGCGUGGUGUGGCAUAACACAGUGGAGCAACCACACCACCCGGGACAGACUAAAGAGGAUUUGGGGGGGCCCAGGGACUUUCAGAACUGGACUUCAGGGGAAGAGCACCUCUGAACACUCAUCAAGCUUGCCCUACACAGACGUUAUGAAUACGAUACUCUCAAAGUUGUUGGAAAUUCUCUGUGGUGAGAGAAUCCCUUUCUCAUUAUAGCAGAGUGCACAGAGGCACAGCACAGCGGAAAUUUAGUUAGGCAUGCGUGUAUGCUGAGAGUAAAAUAACUUGGAGCCAAUUCAUAGUUUCAAAUCAAUAUAAAAGGCAUUUAUUAAGGAACUCCAUUCUAGAUAGGAAAGUGAGGAGUUAGGAUCUCUAAUCUAUCUAUCUAGCUGGAUGCAGAUGGAUUCUGCAUCCUCUCUGCACAUAUGGUGCAGGGAGAGAGGCUUGCCAUGUUGCAAGGUAGAGGGGCAGGUAGGAAGAAGAGAGAGGAAGGAGGAAGUUGAAUCCCUAAGAGUAGCAAUCUACAUUUCAAAGGGAUAGCAUCAGAGCAGUGGAGAAGUGAUGACCAAUGUCUUGACUCUCUAGCCCUCUGACUUACUAGUCUGUCCUCCACUGUCUGAGACAAAGAGAAAGCACAAAGUCCUUUAACUUCCAACAGAAGUAUCUUCUACAGUGUCGAAAGUGGGUCUAGACGUCCCUGCCCUGGUACAUCAGUCAUCCCCUGAACACCACCGCACCACCGUAAAUCCCCUGCUAACUGAGCAAAGAGACACCUUUUAAAGUGGCAAUUCUCUUAUACUUAGCAGGGGCAGAGCCACUGGUCCUAUCCAACUCCAGCACAGCAUCCCACUUGUGGCUGUUGCUGCUUCCUAUCAUUUGUUUCUUUUUAGACUGUGAGCCCUUUGGGGACAGGGAGCCAUCUCAUUUAUGUAUUUUUUGAUGUAAACUGCUUUUGUUGAAGAGCGGUAUAUAAAUAGUUGUUGUCGUCGUAAGCAUGAAGAGCAUGGCAGCAAGGAUGAUUGACGCACCAGGGCAGGACUUCUGGUCCUGCUUUUAACACUGUAAACAUAUUCAAAGUAUUUUUCAAAGCAUCUGUGUUGGGCUUCUGCGCAUGAUGGCCACAGGCACAAAUCUGUACACAGGUUAGGUUGAAUGCAGGUACACUUCCUAUCUGUAUCCUGCAUUUCAGGGGCCUGUACUCAGGUUCACUUUUAAUAAAACGGUGGUACAUAUGCUGGUAACCUCUAGGCUGGAUUACUGCAAUGCGCUCUAUGUGGGGCUGCCUUUGUUCAUAAUCUGGAAACUGCAGUUGGUUCAGAAUGCAGCAGCCAGAUUGGUCUCUGGGUCAUCUAGGAGAGACCAUAUUACUUCUGUGUUGAAGGAACUACACUGGCUGCCGAUACGUUUCCGGGCAAAAUGCAAGGUGCUGGUUAUAACCUAUAAAGCCCUAAACAGCUUAGGCCCUGGGUAGUGAAGAGAACGUCUCCUUCACCAUGAGCCCCACCGCCUGCUAAGAUCAUCUGGAGAGGUUCGUCUGCAGUUGCCACCAACUCAUUUGGCAGCUACUCGGGAAUGGACCUUCUCCGUUGCUGCUCCUGGACUUUGGAAUGCGCUUCCUGUUGAAAUAAGAUCCUCCCCCAUCUCUGGCAACUUUUAAAAAGGCACUGAAGACACAUUUAUUCACCAGGCUUUUAAUUAGAUUUAUAGUUUUAAUAGUUUUAAUAUUUGGUUUUAAAUGUUUUCAGUGUUUUCAGUGAUUUUAAUUGUGAAUUGAUUUGAUGUUUUCAAUGAUUUUAUUGUAAACCGCCCAGAGACGCAAGUUUUGGGUGCAGGCCCAUAGCCCGCUGGUGGCAUGGUGUGCACCUGCGACACCAAAAAAUUCUCUUUCCUCCCCAGCCUCACUGACUGUUUUCACUGAACAUUUUAUAACCUACCUUCUGCAAUCCCACCCCCAAAAUGUUGGGGCUGUCUGCAGCCAAAUUGGGUGGUAUAGAAAUUUUUUUAAAAAUAAAAUAAAAUAUAAAAUAAAAUAAAAUAAAAUAAAUACAGGUACAGUCAUUCACACAAAAGCAUGCCAGAGUGUACAGACAUCUGGAGGCAGGUACAACAUAAUGUCUGCAUAGAGCUUAGUUAUUGGGGUACCACUUGGGGAGUCACACAUUCCCCAUAGCAUCUCAUUAGGCCCAAGAUCUUUUAGGCCAAUUCAGAGCAGAUUUCUGCCAAGUGAAAGUAUAGUAAGAACAGACCAUGUUGAAAUGUUAUUGGCAAAGGAUGGGGGAAGCCUGCUUGGUAGUUAUCCAACGGUGCAUUUAGAACAGAAGAGAAGACAUUAACAAGGGUGAAUCUGCAUUGAUGAUGUGCAAAUCAGAAACACAAGUCUGUUGUGUCUGCAGCAUACCCACACAUGAGGGGAAGGCAGAGACAACCUUCCAAGUCCUGAGAUGUAUGCGUCGUUAACCUUUUUCUCUCUCUGGUGGAAUUGAGCAUAUUUAGUCCAUGUUGUUUUCCCAGCUGCUUCUGAACAUCUAUAUUUGUUUUCAGGGACAAUUUGCUUAUUCAUCUCAUUGCAGCGUUGCCACUCUGAUCCUUUUCUCACACCAGUUUUCUUCUCUUCUCUUUUCUUUUCUUCGAGCACAAGCAAAGGGCAUUUAACACCCAGAGAAAUUUCCAUCUUCUGCAUCAGAUGAUCUCCAUGACCUUUAAGCGAGUUGCCGCCUGGUUGACGCAUGGAGUCAAGACAGAUGGCAGAGUCCAUAUAGCAGAAGGAUACAAAAUACUGCUCAAUGUGGGACCCCUUCUCUCUCCCUCCCCUCUGUGCUGCUUCCCAAAUGUCUGACUGAAUGCUCCAGUGAGGAAUUGAAAAGCUCCUGUUUAGGCAUCUGGGGUUUAAAGCAAUGGGCUCCUUCAUUUCCCUGCCAGAAAUUCUCCAGAAGUUCUCCCUUGGCAAAAUGGCUCUUGUUUAAAAGCACUAGAAACACAGCAGGCAUUAUCCAGAAUGCAGAGGCAACACAGAAUGAAAAAGGGGCAAAGAAGUGCUCAUGGGGAUCCACAAAAGCAGGGAGCUUUAGUCUGCACGUAUAUGCAGAUAUUGAGAUUGUGUGUGAACGGCCAUGCAGGACAUCAACAUGCCCAGGCUGUGCGUGGACCAGACAAGGAGUCAUCAUUUGAGGAGCUUCUUCUAGAGAAACACGAGGCUAGUGCUAAUAAAAUAUGGAGCCACCACAACCCAAAGGAAGGCUACAGCACCUUCCUUACAAGAGGGAAGCAGGUGGCAACACUGAUCAGCAGCACCAUCAGAUGCACUUCAGCAAAGUCAAUGAGAUUUGCAGCAUUUACAGGGAAUGGUGAGGAUCGGGGCCCGUCUCCUCCAAUUAAGCAGCUCUGCUAUUCAUUAAUUCAUUUGUGGCUGAGGAUGGCGAGAGAUGUCGUUCGUCAGCAUCUGGAGUACCACCAGUUGGGAACCACUAGUCUAAGAGAGAGAUGGAUCUGGACAGAGAGAUAAUUCCUCCUCCUCAGAAGUAUGUUCUGUUCUGCCCGAGGAAGAAGCUGAUGAGAACUAAAGAACCAGUUGAUGAGAAAUGAAAUUAAGAUGCAUCAGAUUUUUCAGCUGACACAAUAAGGGGGGAAACACCCAACUGUCUGUACCUCAUG